AUACAUGUGUGCGAGUCAUUGGGCGAACUAAACCCAAAGGCGCAAUGAGAGUAAAGGCCCGCUUCUGCUGGCUUAGGGCCGAUCCCUUCGGGGCGCAGGCUCGGGACUUGCAUGCCCCAUCGCGGGCGGUGAGUACCAAGAGCAUACAUGUUGGGACCCGAAAGAUGGUGAACUAUGCCUGGCCAGGAUGAAGCCAGAGGAAACUCUGGUGGAAGUCCGUAGCGAUUCUGACGUGCAAAUCGAUCGUCGGAGCUGGGUAUAGGGGCGAAAGACUAAUCGAACCAUCUAGUAGCUGGUUCCCUCCGAAGUUUCCCUCAGGAUAGCUGGUGCUCGUCCCGGAGUUUCAUCCGGUAAAGCGAAUGAUUAGAGGCCUUGGGGACGAAACGUCCUCAACCUAUUCUCAAACUUUAAAUGGGUGAGAAGUCGGGCUUGCUUGAGUUGAAGCCCCGGCAUUCGAAUCCGAGCACCUAGUGGGCCAUUUUUGGUAAGCAGAACUGGCGCUGUGGGAUGAACCAAACGUCGAGUUAAGGGGCCUAAACGGACGCUCAUCAGAUCCCAUGAAAGGUGUUGGUUGCUAUAGACAGCAGGACGGUGGCCAUGGAA
rnacentral:rRNA from 1 species